AAUCAACGCUGGCGGCGCGCUUAACACAUGCAAGUCGAACGAGAAAGCCGGGGCAACCUGGUGAGUAAAGUGGCGUACGGGUGAGUAACACGUGGGUAAUCUACCUCUUAGUGUGGAAUAACCCUGGGAAACCGGGGCUAAUACCGCAUAAGCUCGAGAGAGGAAAGCAGCAAUGCGCUGAGAGAGGAGCCCGCGGCCGAUUAGCUAGUUGGUGAGGUAAGAGCCCACCAAGGCAUAGAUCGGUAGCCGGCCUGAGAGGGCACACGGCCACACUGGCACUGAAACACGGGCCAGACUCCUACGGGAGGCAGCAAUGGGGAAUCUUGCACAAUGGGGGAAACCCUGAUGCAGCGACGCCGCGUGAGCGAUGAAGCCCUUCGGGGUGUAAAGCUCUUUCGGCAGGGAAGAUAAUGACGGUACCUGCAUAAGCAGCUGCGGCUAACUACGUGCCAGCAGCCGCGGUAAUACGUAGGCAGCGAGCGUUGUUCGGAGUUACUGGGCGUAAAGGGUGUGUAGGCGGCUUUUUAAGUUUGGUGUGAAAUCUCCCGGCUCAACUGGGAGGGUGCGCCGAAUACUGAAGGGCUAGAGUGCGGGAGAGGAGAGUGGAAUUCCUGGUGUAGCGGUGAAAUGCGUAGAUAUCAGGAGGAACACCGGUGGUGUAGACGGCUCUCUGGACCGUAACUGACGCUGAGACACGAAAGCGUGGGUAGCAAACAGGAUUAGAUACCCUGGUAGUCCACGCCCUAAACGAUGCAUAUUUGGUGUGGGUCAUUCAGUUGAUCUGUGCCGGAGCUAACGCGUUAAAUAUGCCGCCUGGGGAGUACAGUCGCAAGGCUG
rnacentral:rRNA from 1 species